rnacentral:misc_RNA from 1 species
UAAAAGAUUAAAUUAAUUAGUAAAUAUUUUAGAAAUUAAAUACAAAUCCUAAAUUCAUUAGGAUUAAAUUUAAAAUCACAAAUUAAGUCCUAAAUAAAUUUAUAACUUCAAUUAUAUAUAUGUGUGUGGGCUAGACUUUAAUUACAAAUCUAAGCUUAAACACCAAUAGGAGUAGAUUACUUCUUACAGUCGGUUUUAUUAGUUCAAGUGCUCCACAGACACCACUAGAUAAGCGACCGAUCGUCGUAAAUGCUUGACUUAAAUUCGACUCAAAAACCUCCUGAUCACUUCACUCACUCAAAUCAAACUCAGAUUCUGAACAAACCUAAUUUCAAGCACAAGAACUGAAAAAUGCUGCAGACAAGGUUAGUAAGCUCUUUAUUUUUCUCUGUUUAUUCAAUUCAUCUCAAUGGUUAAAUUGGUGAUUCUUGUUUAUGUAUCAGUUUGAUACUAAUUAUCAUUUCUCUCUUGGGCGUUUGAAACAGGGUUUGGAGAUUUGUGGCAUGCCUAUGGGUAAAAGACGGCCAAAUACACGGAUAAAUCAAUAUGCUGUAGAUGAUUACUGCCCUGUACAUAAAAGUAUUGAAAUUCAAAAGCCUCAUAUGGUUUCAACAAGAACAUUGAAGAGAGGAUCACCACUUGGCAUGUAUGGCCUUGAAGCUCAUCCAGUAACUGCUCAAAAGAAGAGACUGAUUGAAAAAGAUGGUAGCCAUCAUCGAAUUUGUUCAAUGCAUCCAUCUCCAACUCUUGAAAAGGUAGAUAUAGUUGUUUAUCCAGAUGCAUCAUUGGGUAGAAAUCAUGUUCUUUUUUCUUUUAAUGUUUCAACAGCUGAGUUUUCUAGAGUGGAUGAAAGUAGGGGAAGUGAUAGUUUUCUUGUAGAGUCCUCAAUAUCUGUGCAUACUGAUAGUUGUAGAUCCUCUGUUGGUAGUUGUAGUGCUAUGGGCGAUGAUUAUCAAAAUUUUCCCUUUAGGUUUUCUACACCACACAGUAACAAUAUAGAGGAUUGCUGUAGUGAUGCUGAAUCAUCUUCUGGAGUGGAUUAUGAGAAAGAAAGAUGUUCAUUUUCUUCAGAUGAGCAAUCGGGAGUAGAAUUCCAUAGGUCAGAAUUACAUACAUAUUGUUCUGCUAUUGAGGAAUUAUAUGCUUUGGGGCCUUUAAGUUGGGAAGAUGAAGCAAAAUUGACAAAUCUACGUCACAUGUUUCAUAUUUCAGAUGAUGAGCAUUUGAUGGUGCUGAGAAAUUUGAUACCUUCUAAUAGUAUGCUUCUUGUCAGCUGACUUGAUUUAGUCUCUUUUUUUCUUCUCCUUGGUAUAUUUUUCAUUAUUGAUGUCAAGAUGUUGUAAAGGACUAGAUGGCAUGAAAGAAAUGUAUAAUCUAGACUUUGUUUUUCUUUUGAUUUAACAAGUUACCACAGUUUAUUUCUAUUUUUUCACUAAAAUUUUCUUUUUAUUCAAUUGGCUGAAUGUGUAUUUAAUUUCUGCAACAUGAAUCACAAUAGUCAUUUGAAGUUGUUGUUCUACUGUUUAUUUGUGUAUUUGGAAUUUUCUACUUGCUCAGUUCAUUUAACUUGCAUUGUGGAGCAGUUUGUCAAAUAGAUUUUAAAUAAAUUUCCAGUUACGUAUAAAAGGUAAUCUUUUGCCAAAUUGUUAAUUAUCAAAAAACCUCAAUGGAAUGAGAUAGAAAUAUUUAAUCUUUUUUCCAAAUGUCAAAAUGCAUGUCCUUUGCAAGUCCUACAAAGCUUUAUAUGAGGUUAAACAUUUGUGAAUUCCAUUGCAUGUGUUGUUUUUGAUAUUUAAGAACUGGAAUUGUCAGGAUUUGCCACAUUUAUUAAAUAUUUAUUUAUUUCGCUUUUGACAUGAUCAUUCUAUGGGAUUUUCCAUCAAACCUUUUUCAUAUCCCCUGUAAUGUAUGAUGUCUAGCAGCAUGGAGUUUAAGGUGAUGAAAAUGCUGAUGCUUCACCUGUGCAUAUCAUGGCCAAUAUUGGAGGCAUGCUUGUUUCUAGAGGCCUCAAGGUGAUGGGUACUUCAUAGAGUUGCCCUCAUAUUGGGUGUGGACUUUGGGGCAGCAUCUGCACUUGAUUUCCCACAGAAACUUGUGACUGGCUGCCCUGGCUAUUGUAAUAGAAGAAAAAAGGAUACUCACCAUUUGACAUGAGGUUAUACUUCUGGCAUUUGGAUACGGGAGAAGUAUUUUUCAGACAAUCAACAUGUCUGAAUUUCUUGUAAGUUGAUUGGUAAAGCUAUUAUUUCAUUCAAACUGAACCUAAAGUUUAAUGUCUGCUUAUGCUUUACCAUUCUAUUGCCAUUUUGCUGGGACCAACGUUGAGAUCCAAUGUGAGAAUUAGUAAUUUACAGCUUCUUGUAUUGGUCAUUUAUCAUUGGCACUUUUGAUCUUAUGCCCUGAGGAGACUUGAUCUUUCAACCUUUCUAAGUAAAUUUGGUUGCAGAUCUAGUGUCUUAUAAUAUCAUAAAUGAAGUUUUUUUACAAGAAGAAAGAGAUAACUAUUAACUAUCAUGCAUUAUAUUUGAUAUUUUCCAAUCAAAAUCAUGCAAUAAUUGAAUAAAUUCAAUGUUUAUUGAUGUAGCCUUUUUGUAUCGCGUGAUGAAUCAUAAUUUGGUGAAUUUUAGUCUUUUUAGUUCCUAGGAUUUUUCAGCAAAAAAAAAAAAAAAAUCCUAGGA